AGUUAAUGAGCUUGAACAAGCAUAUGUUUUGAAAACAUAAGAUAGAAACCAAACUUUCUAUUAACUU
rnacentral:tRNA from 1 species